rnacentral:rRNA from 1 species
AUUGAACGCUGGCGGCAGGCCUAACACAUGCAAGUCGAGCGGCGCGGCGGCCGGGUGAGUAAUGCCUAGGAAUCUGCCUGGUCGUGGGGGAUAACGUCCGGAAACGGGCGCUAAUACCACAUACUAUCAGAUUAGCCUAGGUCGGAUUAGCUAGUUGGUGGGGUAAAGGCCUACCAAGGCGACGAUCGUUAACUGGUCUGAGAGGAUGAUCAGUCACACUGGAACUGAGACACGGUCCAGACUCCUACGGGAGGCAGCAGUGGGGAAUAUUGGACAAUGGGCGAAAGCCUGAUGCAGCCAUGCCGCGUGUGUGAAGAAGGUCUUCGGAUUGUAAAGCACUUUAAGUUGGGAGGCGUUACCAACAGAAUAAGCACCGGCUAACUUCGUGCCAGCCGCCGCGGUAAUUC